UCAGCUCAAGCAGUCCUCCCGCCUCAGUCUCUCAAGUAGCUGGCACUACAGGCACACGCCACUGCACCAGGCUCAAAGAAUUCUUAGCUUCCUUUUCAAAUGUUAACACCUUUUAUAACCACAUUAUAGGGAAUUAACCUUAAUAGUAUUAACUAUUUACAGACCUUCUUCAGAUUUCUCCACUUGAACCACUAAUGUCCUUUUCUGUUCCAGAAUCAGGUUUUCAUAUCACCUUAGUAUCCUCCCAUCUAGGAUAAUUCCUCAGCUUUUCUUUGUCUUUCAUAACCUUGAUGAAUACUAUUUAGUUAUUGUAUAGAAUGUAUUCGAUUUGGGUUUGUCUGAUGUUUUCUUCUGAUGAAAUUCAGGUUAUAUGUAUUUGGCAAGAAUACCACAAAAGCAGCAUUGUGUCUUCUCAGCAUCAUAUAAGGAGAAAUGUAUCUUCAGCAUAGAUUCCUAGAAGUGAGAUUUCUGGGUCAAAGGAGCCCUUAAGUCAAGGAGCAGACAUGUGCCAACUAGGAGGCCUUGGUGGAUGGCCAGUUCUAAACAACUGAAGGCCAACCCUGACUCUCACUCUGUCCUUGUAUCUUGUGGUACAUGCACCUGUGCAGUGUCACCAGUUCCAGGAAAUAAAUAAAGAGUUACACACAUGGCUCAUUUUCCUGCCUCAUGGCCCCCCCGCCCUCAUGAUCCAGUAAACAUUGCAGGCAUGAUGCUUCUGCAGACAUGGCAGUUCCUUCCUUCUAAAUAUAAACGCAGAGACACUAAAAAUAAAGUGUUAAAGGUGAGUUUUGUUGGUUCCUGAAAUGUCAGUACACCAAGUAUAUAAACUUAUUUCUCAGGGAGCCAAGAAGGAACAGGUGGCUAUGCACUUAUAACUGGGUUUUUGCAAAUGCAAAGAGAAACUGUCAGAAGCUUGAUGGACAGCAGCCAUAUCUUGAUUUUUUUUAAGUUGUGCUAAAAGCAGGACAUCAGGGAAAUAGUUCUUCCAUUGUCUAAUAGAUUUGUAUCAGGGUCCUUAAGCACAUGUAGUCCACAGGAAUGGAAUUGAGGCUUGAUAAACCCACUUCAGCAAACCAGGGCUGAGAGAAUGCAAUGACGAAUUGAUCAAUCAUCAGCCCAAUGAGCAAAGCAGGUGAACAGUACAGAGUUCCUAGAAUCAUGAGUCAACCAAGAGAGAUUUGUGCCUGGCAUAGCACCUGGUCCAUAAUAUACCAUUAAUAUAUGCAUGAUCAAAUGAAUAAAAAAGUAUCCCACACUGGCUUGUAUUGUUAUGAAGGCUCUGAAGGGUGAUGUUAAAUGCCUAAGAGUUCGGAUGAGAAAGGCAAGGCAGAAAGUGACGGCAGUAAGGCUCCGAAACUGAUACUUGGAUGUUGGCAGAAUUAGAAGUAUGGCCAGUGUGAGACUCAGGACAGGAUCUGCCAAUGUUCAACCUCACAAGACGCAACAGGUGACAAAAACAGUUCAUAAUCCAAGCUUAGAUCACAUCAAGACAAACCAGGAAUUCAAGAUCCCACACUGUAAACAAGGUCAGGCCUUGCCAACACCCAUCCCAACUCCCUAGUGGAGAAGAAAGCACACUUCAUACAGGCAACGGCAGACACUUGAGAACUCACGUUGUAUAACCAGUUACCACACAGAAGCCAUCUUAUCUCCCAAUACAAAGAAUGUGUCUAGGUUACUUCUACGACCUCAAUAUUACUGUAAGAUGUAUUUUCUACAGCCACUCCCUGUCUCCUCACCCUUCUAAACAAAUAACCAAAAGAAAACCAAAAUAACCAACCACUGGCAUUCUCUGAAGGUUGCCAUAUUUUCAUAUUCUUUCAUGACUUUGUUUAUGCUGUUUGUAAAGCCUUUCGUUCAUUUAUUCAUUUAUCCAUUCAGGAACAAGUUUUCUUAUUGGUUAAUUAUGAUUCAUUUUUUGACUUGUUGGUUUAUUGAUUGCCACUUAUGUCCUUAGUGCUGCACUAGGUGCCGUGGAUAUUGUGUUCACAUGUCUGUGAACAAAACAGAAAUGCUCCUGGCCCUCACAGGAGAGACAGAAAAUAAACAAAUAUACACAAAUAUUUACUUACACAUUGUCAUAAGUGCUAAGAAGAAAAUGACUCUGAGAGGAAAUAACAGAUGGCGCUGACUGUAGAGACUAUGAUUCGGAGAGGCCUCGUGGUUACUUACUCUGUGGAACAUUUUCUGACCAGCCCACACACCCACCUCAACUGAAUCAAUACUAUUCUCUGUGCUCCAAAGUUAUAGCUUCUAGUUUUGACUUGACACUUUUGUAGUUGUUUGUAUAUCUAAGCUGUGCACACAGACUAUUAAUUCUCUCAAUGCAAGGAGGAUAAAGAGAAAAGCACAUGGAAUUUGGAGUCAGAAAAACCUUAAAGUGAAUGCCAGUCUUCCACUUAAACCCUAGGAUAUUUGGCAAAUAUUUCAAUCUGAGUUACCUGAAAGUAGAGUCUGAGGUGUUAAGGCGUGUAUGCAAGUAGAUUACUUGGGAAGAGAUCCUAAGGAGUAGGAGUGAGAGAUGGGAAGUGGAACAGGGAAGAGGGAGGAGGCAAUGCAAGGAUGUGCCCUGGAGUUGGCCACCGCUAUAGACAGAGGGGCUACUGGCCUUGGAAGGAGCCAUGUGAAAUGGGCCUCAGAUGACAGAGGGAAACAUUUAUAUAUUGGCCCAUCCUCCACUGAUUAAAGGAGCCCACAUGGGCAUGACUCCUCUCCAUGUCUAAGUUGUACAAGAUAUGAGUGACCAGUGGAUGCAACAAGAGCCUACAUGAAGUAUCAGGGACGCCUCAGGGCAAGAAGCAGGAGUGUGGGCUGGGCGCGGUGGCUCAAGCAUGUAAUCCCAGCACU